AGUGAACGCUGGCGGUAGGCCUAACACAUGCAAGUCGAACGGCAGCACAGUAAGAGCUUGCUCUUACGGGUGGCGAGUGGCGGACGGGUGAGGAAUACAUCGGAAUCUACUUUUUCGUGGGGGAUAACGUAGGGAACCUUACGCUAAUACCGCAUACGACCUACGGGUGAAAGCAGGGGAUCUUCGGACCUUGCGCGAUUGAAUGAGCCGAUGUCGGAUUAGCUAGUUGGCGGGGUAAAGGCCCACCAAGGCGACGCUCCGUAGCUGGUCUGAGAGGAUGAUCAGCCACACUGGAACUGAGACACGGUCCAGACUCCUACGGGAGGCAGCAGUGGGGAAUAUUGGACAAUGGGCGCAAGCCUGAUCCAGCCAUACCGCGUGGGUGAAGAAGGCCUUCGGGUUGUAAAGCCCUUUUGUUGGGAAAGAAAAGCAGCAGGUUAAUACCCCGCUGUUCUGACGGUACCCAAAGAAUAAGCACCGGCUAACUUCGUG
rnacentral:rRNA from 1 species